rnacentral:rRNA from 1 species
UACGGGGGGGAGCAAGCGUUGUUCGGAUUUACUGGGCGUAAAGGGCGCGUAGGCGGCGUGACAAGUCACUUGUGAAAUCUCCGGGCUUAACUCGGAACGGUCAAGUGAUACUGUCGUGCUAGAGUACAGAAGGGGCAACUGGAAUUCUCGGUGUAGCGGUGAAAUGCGUAGAUAUCGAGAGGAACACCUGCGGCGAAGGCGGGUUGCUGGGCUGAUACUGACGCUGAGGCGCGGAAGCUAGGGGAGCGAACGGG